CGAGACGGCAUCUUCGUGACGCCUUAGUGCAACCACGAGGACUUUUUGCUGCAGUCUGAAAAGCACGGCCAUCGAUGCGGGCAGCUGGCGUCCAGGCGCCGGCCGAAAGGGGAAAACGCCGAAGCGGAAAGGCGAGGUUGCCUUCUGCAGUACUGCUCUAAAUCUCUUGACAUGGUGUGGGGUCCUAAAACAAAAUGGACAAGUUGGUCCUCAACUUCACAUGGAACUGAAAGGGGCCCAGAAUAUCAAAACAAUCUUGAAAAAGAACUAACUUGGAGGACUCAUGCUUCCUGAUUUCAAACUUAC